GCCCGAUCAUCUCUGCCAACCCCUGUUGCUCUUCGUCACUCUCCGUCAACUUUCGUGAUUGCCCGAUCAUCUCCGCCAACCCCUGUUGCUCUUCGUCACUCUCCGUCAACUUUCGUCUUCCAAUUAAGUUCACGCUCCGUUCUUUUCAUCACGGUCUAGCUAGCUCUCAGUCCUGGUCAGUCUCCUCGUUCCUCUCCUCUCUUCCCCGACCUCCAUUUCUGUCUGUCACUUCUCGAUGACUCUGUUACUCUCCGACCAGGCCAACCUCCCUUCUUGUCGCACUGUCACUCCACUAGUCUCCGUCACCAUGUUCGGCUCUUUCCGUAGCAGCCCCUUACUCUUCGUCAAUCUCCGUCACGUUGCCUCAUUCUCCGAUUAGGCUCGGCUCUCUUCGUAUAACUUCCUGUUAGUCACCUCGCCUUUCGUCACUUUCCGUCAGUGCUCGCCCCUUUCCGCCAGUCUCCGCCCUACAUCCCGUCGGACUGAGACAAUGGCCCGCCUUUACUCUCCAGAGAUGGGCUGUCUGUGUCCCCUGACCAGUUCCAUGGGGGAGAGGGGCCUCACUGUCGCUCCUACUGGCGUUCCCCACUCCUUGUUUCCUAGGCUUGAGAGCCAUGUAUGCUCUCUUUUGUGAAUUUAUAGCAUUUGCCCGUUUUUUCCUUUAUGAGGAAAAUUGUGCUAAGUGAUAUGAGUGGGGAAUUUAUUUUCCCAGUUUAUCUUUCGCCUUUUGGCUUUGAUUAUGGAGUGAUGUUUAAAAAAAAAAAAAAACUGAUCAAUAAGUCAAUUAGAGGUAAAAGGUUUUAUUGGGUGGAAAAAGGCUGUUUGGUAACAGGAGCACCCUGUGGAGAGUUGAGCUCCUCACGUUUAAUUUUGAUUAGCUUCUAUACAGUGCGAAGUGAGACGAAGCCUCACCUUCCUCACUUUUAAGGAGCGCUCUGGCUGUCCUUCUUCUGGGACAGAUUUGUUUGUCCUUCUGGCCAUCCGUUGUUGUAAAAUGGUUUAGCAGUAGCCUCAAACCUCGUCAUCUAACUGCACAGGGAGAAAGAAAACACCAUCAAGAGCCCAAGAAGGAUUCCCGUGAGGUGGAGGUCCGACAUACGUCUGCCUUCCAACCUUUUUUUUUUUUACCAACUCUGACAUCAGCCGUCCCUCCCGUGGCACUCUCUACGUCUGUGUUGAGUUUAGUAAUUCGUUACAGUGACCACACAGAACUCAGGAAUCCUUACAGUUCGGUGGUUUAUUAGGUUACAACUCAGGACCAGGAACAAGUAGCUACAAGUUGGGCUCAGGGUCAGGAAGGAUGUAGGCAAAGUAUCCCAUCUUCAGUGUAGGAGAGAUCUUGACCAUGCAGGGCUCCUCUCUUGGCCCUCAGCACUUGACCCCACUCAGGUCUGGCCCCUGUCCUGCUUGGGCAAGUGUUAAAAGCUCUUCAGCUCUGCGGUUAAGUGCCCAGAGGCACCGCACUCUUCCAGGAAGCCACGUGCCCGAACGCUCUCAGCUCUGUCACUCCGUGAGCUGGCAUCCCCAGUGUAGCCACCUCACUCUGUAUGCUGGGAAGCCAACCGUACUUUCUCAUCCCUGUCUCCUGGUUCUGCUGCUGCCAUUUCUCUACCGCUGCUUCUCACUGUAUAGUGCCAUCUUCAGUGUUGCAGCUCUCUGUCUCCUGGGUCUAGGAGGUUCCCAACACAGGGACCACAGGUCCAAAGGACGUAUUCUACCUCCGUCUCUUCUUCUUGAUGGUAGUGAGGUCCCCCACCUAACCUCUGAGAUUGGCUGUCUUUCAAGCCUAACAGGUUGGCAAAACUGAUCAAUCCCCUCGUUCAGAUUCCUUGCACCUAAUUUGCAUGAUCCCACCCCCAAUAGGGUUCCAUGCACCUUAUUUGCAUUGUUAGCAAGCUGUUCAAUCCCCUUGGUGGGUCACAAGUCCCACCCAUAGUCCCACCCAAUCAUUUGGUGAGAGUUACAAGACCAUAACAAGAAAAGCCAUAUAAAAGCAAUCCAUUGCACCUCAAUGGUAUAUUCAAUAUUCUUCGCCAACACCUUCAUUCACAUGGAUCAAUUCUUCUUCAGUCUUCCUUAUUCAUUGCCUAGCUCUCGAAUGCAUAGGAGGCAGUUGAAAAUACCAUGGCUUCGGUCAGGUGCACCUCAGUCCUUAAGGUGACAUCUCUGCUUUUUGACACUUUAAAGAGGUCUUUUGUAGCAGAUUUGCCCAAUAUAAUACAUUGUUCGAUUUCUUGACUACUGCUUCGAGGGACCAGUCUCUGAACAAGAACAUCAUGCUUGGAAAAGCAGAGGGUUGGAGAAAAAGAGGAAGACCCUCAAUGAGGUGGAUUGACAAAGUGGCUGCAAUAAUGGGCUAAAACAUAGCAAUGGUUGUCAGGAUGGUGAAGGACCAGUCAGUGUUUCAUUCUGUUGUACAUAGGGUUGCUGUGAAUCAGAACUGACUCGAAGGCACUUAACAACAACAUAUAAAAUAAACUGUUAGGGGAUUUCCCAAAACGGAAAUUUUAAAUAAUUGGUUGUCAUUCACUUAAUGGGCAGGAGACCGCUUGGAUUAGUUUAUUGAGUUUCUGUGUCUGCAUUUUAUAGGCUAGUAUGGCUUGUCUAAUUUAUUUAAACUUUUCUCAGGACUGUCUUUAUCAGGAGUCUUUAGUUUCUGCAAAAGGUUAAGAGUUAAGUUUAAGGGGAGGAGGUGGGCUUUUUCUUUAACAGUUUUUAAGCAGCUGGAUUUGUCAAUCUCUUCUUCAUGGCUUCUGGAUUUAUGACCUACUUGGAAGGAGCUUCUCUAUUUUGAUAACAUACAAUUUUUAUCCCUUGGGUUCUUCUCCUUUUAUGCUUUAGUUUUUCCAUCUUUGAUCCAUCCGGAAUUAUUUUUGGUGGAAGGUGUGAGGUAUGGAGCCAGAUUUCUUUCCUAGGUGGCCACCAUUUUUUCUUAAAUACCAUUUAUUGAAAAAUCCCCUUUUUCUUAACUGUGUGCAAUAUCAUCUUAAUCAUAUACUAAAUUUGUGGCGUAAUUCUUUCCAUAAUAAGAUCUUUAUGACCAGGCAAUCAGUUGAAAGGGAGUUUCCCUGGGAGUGUGGCCUGCCUCCAAUACAGGUGGACUUUCUGUCAAAGCUUGCUGGCUUUUGUUUACUCUGGAUCCUGCAGUUGGCUCCUGUUCGUCUGCCCCCCAGUUCUUGGUACUUGAGCUAGCCACUUACCUGCUGUCCUCGCUGGUGAUCCUGGGAUUCAUCGGCUUCUGCAGCCUGUGAACCCGAGGCCUGUUGUCUGACCUGCCAAUCUUUGGUUCGCCAGCCCCUGCAGCUACACGAGUGAGGAGAAGCCUGCAGCUUGAUCCACAGAUCUGGGAUUGUCUAGCCUCUGCAACAACAUGAGUCAUUUCCUUGGCAUAAAUCUCUCUCUGUUUACACACUUCACUGGUUUUGCUUCUCUAGAGACCUAGCCUAAGACAUCACAGGUCAGUAGUGUUAAAAAUUACUCAAAGCACAAAGAAAGAAAAGUAUAUAUGAUUUAUUCUAGGAGUUAAUCUGUUUGCAUACAGAGAGACCUCUGUUUCAGAAAAACAGGAGAGCCCAGUGUGGGACACUUAAACAGUGAGCUUUUGAAAGAGGAAAUAGAGUAGAAAACUGACCAGUGAAUAGUCUUAAUAUGAUGGAUUGAAUCAUGUCCCUCUUUCUGAGAUCAGCUGACAUCAGGUUACUAGGUGGUCUCUGGUUUGGCUAACCCCCAUUCAUUUGUGCAAAUUCUCAGGUGUAGUCUGGAGAAUUAAAAAUAACAAAGAUACCUCAGUUAUUCAGGGAAUCCCAAGGGUUAUCCUCAGGAAGCAAAAGAAAUUACCUUAAGUUAUGUUCUUUGCAUUAGAUAAACUCAGAGAUGUUUAACAAAUGUCUUUCUCACAAAGGGGAAUCUGUGAGACUUCAUGGUCACUGUGUCUCCACAUUACUUCUUUUUAUCUAUUUUUAGGUACAGUCAAUGGUCAGUGAGCUCUGUGAACUUUCCUAUGUGCUCAGUGGAAUCUGUCAAUUCAGACCUCAGUUUGUCUACUUUAACACUAGUAUGGAAUCAGGGAGGUGCAAGUAUGACUUUAUAAUUGUCUUCAUUCAGAGAUUAUGUAUAGAUUAACAAGAUGCAUACAGGUGCCAAGCUGACAGGGGGUGAACUGUGAUCAUUAAGGUUGUGUGUCAACUUGGCUGGGCCAUGAUUCUCAGUGGUUUGGCAGUUAUGGUGUAGUUUGGCAGUUGUAUGAUGAUGUGAUCACUUCCAUAAUAAGAUUUGAUAUAAUGUGAUCACCUCCAUAAUGGGAUCUGCUGUGAGUAGCCAAUCAGUUGAAAGGGAGUUUCCUUGGAGGUAUGGCCUCCAUCCAAUAUAAGUGGACUUUCUGGCAAGGGUCUCAAGCUUUUGCUCACUCUUGAUCCUGCAGUUGGCUCCUGUCCAUCUGACCACUGAUCCUUGGGAUUUGAGCUAGCAGCUUACUUGCUGUCUUGUCUGCCAAUCUGGAAUUCGGUAGAUCUUCGCAGCCUGUGAGCAAGAGCCCUUCUGUCUGUCCUGCUGAUCUAGGGCUCCCCAGCCGGUGCAGUGAUGUUAAUCAGGAGAACCCUCUAUCCUGAUCCACGGACGUGGGGCAUUCUAGCCUCUACAACCACAUGAGCCAUUUCCUUGAUAUAAAUCUCUCUCUACAUAUAUUUGGAAACCCUGGUGGCAUAGUGGUUAAGUGCUACAGCUGCUAACCAAGAGGUUGGCAGUUCAAAUCCACCAGGAGCUCCUUGGAAACUCCAUGGGGCAGUUCUACUCUGUCCUAUAGGGUCGCUAUGAGUCGGAAUCGACUCGACCGCAGUGGGUUUGGUUUUGGUUUUUUAUGUAUAUAUUUAUAUGCUUACUGGUUUUGCUUUCUCUAGAGACCCAGCCUAAGACACCAGGGCUGGGGAUCCUGUGGGAAAGGUAGCAGACACUCAAACCAACAGGUAUUGUUGCAACUGGAGUGAUACCUGUGGGCACCAGAACUUGAAGGGACUGCCUGGUUUUCCCCCGUCUUCCAAGUUUUCUGCCUUUGAUGGGGUGCAGCCUUACCACUUUUCUUUCCUUUUUGUUUAAGACACAAAAUACGAAGUUUGAUUUAAAUACUCUUGUUAGUAUUUAUUUUUAUUGUGCUUUAGGUAAAAGUUUACAGAGCAAAUUAAUGUCUCAUUGAACAGUUAAUACACAAAUUGUUUUGUGACAUUGGUUGCCAACUCCACCAUGUGUCAACACUCUCCCCUUCUCCACCCUAGGUUCCCUGUUUCCAUUUGUCCAAUUUUCCUGUCCCUUCCUGCCUUCUUGUCUUUGCUUUUGGGCUGGUGUGCCCAUUAGUCUCCUAUGUAUGAAUGGAACUAUGAAGCACAUUCCUCAUGUGUGUUAUUGGUGGCCCUGUUAUUGUUGUUAGGUGCCAUUGAGUUGGUUCUGACUCAUAGUGACCCUAAGUACAACAGAAUGAGACACUGCCUGGUCUUGUGCCAUCCUCAGGAUCGUUGUUAUGCUUGAGCCCAUUGUUGCAGUCACUGUGCCAAUCCAUCUCAUUGGGGGUCCCCCUCCCCUUUGCUGACCCUCCACUUCACCAGGCGUGAUGGCACCCUUUGCUGGUCUCUCCUGACAACAUGUCCAAAGUAUGUGAGAUGAAGGCUCGUCAUCCUCACUGCCAAGGAGCAUUCUGGCUGUACUUCCUCCAGGGUGGCCCUAUAGACCUGUCUAAUCUUUGGCCAAGGGUGAACCUCAGGAGUGACUUCUGUACUGAAUUAAAAGGAUGUCUGGGGGCCAUACACUUUUCUCCAGUCUCUGUCAGACGAGCAUGCCUGAUUUUUUUUUUUUUUUUUUGAGAAUUUAAAUUUUGUUCUACAUUUUUCUCCCACUCUGUCCAGGACCCUCUAUUAUGAUCCCUGCCAGAGCAGUUGAUGUAUUCUUGUGACUUUCCUAUAGCUAUUUUUAGUGGAAAAUAUUUGAGUUUUCCUUCUCUCACAGGUUUCUGCCUUAAGCAGAUUCCAGCUUUUGCAGGUUUUGAUGACUAUGGCUGUGGCCACGGCCCUGUGGGGAGUCUGAGCUGGAGUGUGAAUUGAUACUGUUCUGGACAGCAACUGGGCCCACUAUAAAAUAUUAUGUUGGGUAUACUAUGUCAGUGGACACGCAGGAGAUUACUGGGUCGUUAAGCAUGAGCCUGUAAAGGAGUGUUAACUGACAUGGAGGGGACUGCCAGCAUCCUGAUGAGAGGACACCAGGUUAGGAAGCAGUCCACCCCCUCAGGGUGCUGAGGGUGAACACAGUCAAUGUGAAUGAGGAUUAAUUCCCAUCAUUUGUGGGGACACCUAACCCUGGGGUCACAUGCAGGCCCUGGGCAUAACAGGCUGUGAGCCUUCAGCCCACUUUCAGUUGGAUGUGCGCUAGGGUGGAGGUCAAGGGUCAGAAUUUGAGUCAAGCUUUUCAGCUUAGGUGUGGAAAGGUGCAGAGUAACAUGGCAACGCCACGUUUAGGUUCUGUCCAGAGGCCCCACGUGCAAAUUCCUGCCUCCAAGACUUUGGUGGCUUCCCGGCUUGCUAGUGGGCAGGAAGCCGCCACAGUCCCUCUGCUGGCUCCCACAGAAAUUGGCCGCUUCUCUUUGUUCUACUCGGCUGGGCCAACUCGGCUCUCCGCUGCUGCCCGGCCCCACUCGGCUCUCUCCGCCGCUGCCCGGCCCCACUCGGCUCUCUCCGCCGCUGCCCGGCCCCACUCGGCUCUCUCCGCCGCUGCCCGGCCCCACUCGGCUCUUUCCGUCACUGUCCGUCUCCCCUCUCGGCCCACUCCGCCACUGCGGGCACCAUUCGGUUCUCUGUGUCAUUUUCUGUCACUUUGCGGUUCAGUUGUUUCCGCCAUUUUCCGUUACUCCUUGCCUCUCCAUUUCCACUCCGUUUCAUCUCAGAGUCCUUCACUCUCUCCAUUGCCCAUCUGCGCUUUUGGUGUCUGAGACUCAGCUCUCCAGCCUUUUUCUGCCUCUCCCGCCACUGCUUGUCCCCACUGGUUGUCUGUCUGUCCUUUGCCCUUUGUCUCUCCAUCAUAUGAGUUUGAUUAGCCGUCGCUUCGUACGUCUCUCUUCGUACGUCUCCGUUUCUGGCCACCAAUCUCCGACUACGCUCGGCUCUCUUCGUCACUUUCCGUCAAUUCUCGUCCUUCUCCGUCAAGUCUCGUAAUUGUUCGGUAAUCUCCGUCACUCGCGUUGCUCUUCUGCGUUCUCCGUCAGUUUUUGUCAUCCAGUUAGGUUCAAGGUCCCUUCUUUUCGUCACUGUCACCACUUUUCGCUACGCUCUAGCUAGCUCUCACAUCGUGGUCUCCUCAUUCCUCUUCUCUCACCCUCGACCUCCAUUCCUAUUACUUCUCGAUGACUGUUAGUCUCCGAUCAGGCCAAGGUCCCCUAGACGACAAUCCGCCUGUUACUCCGCUGGUCUCCAUCACCAGCUGCGGCUCUUUCCGUACCCCGCCCCCCCGUUCGUUAUGCUCCGUCACUUUUCGUCGUUCUCCGGUGAGGCUCGGCUCUCUUCGUCUGCCUUCUGCUUUGUCAACGUCUGUUUUUGUCAUUUUCCGUCAGUGCUCGCCACUUUCCGUCAGUCUCCGCCACCCUCCGAGUGGGCUCGGGUCUCUCCGUCAUUCAUCGUCCAUCGUCGUCGGUCUCUGUCUCCUGAGUGCCUGUCUUCCCCGCCUCGGGCAGUCAUUCACGUGGCCGGUAAACAGCCAUCCCUACCUGUGAAGCAGAUGCGGACCACACUAUUCAAAGACUCUGCAAUGGAAUCUUACAGGAGAAACUAAAAAAUAUGAGUGGAUAACCAGAGCCUAACUCCCAGGGGAGCAUACGCUUAAGAAAGGCAGUUUGUGUUCCAAAUGUGGCAGCUCCCCAGAAAGAAAACUGACAGAAAGCUGCAGGUGACAAAGAAGAUCCGGGGCAGGAGAACUCCAGCCUGAUGUUUUCGUUACCACUUGGCUGGCCUUGCUGGAUCUGGACAGUCGUAGGUCCAUCCUUUGCCCUCUCUCAACAAGAGAACUCUCCCGAAAUCUAAUGGAUCCUCAGAGAUACGCAACCAGGACAAUACGUGAACCUCAGUCUUCAGGUCUUGGUCCCACUGGCUCCCCACGCACUGAGUCUUCCCACAAACUGCUGUAACCGGUGAGGUUUCUGAGCCCACCUGGGCAGAAUCAGCAACGUCUUCCUUGAGGUCCCUUACCUGAGCCUUCCACUGAAGACACAUUUCGCCCUGUGGCUGCUCUGGAAACGUUUGACGCCCCAGGCGCCUCUGUUAACUGCGCUUCUCUGUAGAGUUCUUGGAUCGUCACAGCUGAACCUCUUUGCAGUCAAGUGUGCUGUGUGUCACAGUUCUUAUACCUUAGGUGCAUCUUGAAGCUGAGGGGCCGUCCAGUCACCCCCAUCUUGGUGCUGUCAAGUUGGUUCCGACUCAUAGCGACACUGUGUGCAGCAGAACGAAACACUGCCCGGUCCUGUGCCGUCCUCACAGCCAUUACGCUUGAGCCUGUUGUUGGAGCCACUGUGUCAGCCCAUCUCGUUGGGGGUCUUUUUCACUGACCCUCUGCUUUGCCGGGCACGAUCCUUCUUCAGGGACUGGUCCCUCCUGAUAACAUGUCCAAAGUGCGUGAGACAAAGUCUUGCCAUCCUUGCUUCUGAGGAGCAUUCUGGCUCUACUUGUUCCAAGACAGAUUCGUUCGUUCCAGCAGUCCAUGGUAUAUUCAGUAUUCUUCAGCAUUGCCAUUCAAAGGCGUUGAUUCUUCCGUCUUCCUUAUUCCUUGUCCAGCAUUUCUAUACAUAUGAGGCGAUUGAAAAUACCAUGGCUUGAGUCAGGUGCACUUUAGUCCUCGAAGUGACAUUUUCACUAAAUGAAAUUGAUAUCAUUUUAUAAGUUUUGUCUAUGAGAACAAUUAUAUUUUCCUUUUCAUCUCGGACCAAUCGUGUAUAAUGCUCACAUUCAGUUCUCGUUGACCCCCUAAGAACGUGCCAGUGGUACUAUAAUAACGUGACUCAUAAUGCAUCUGGUCCUGUCCUGUGCAGAGUGAACCAAAUGCAUCUUCAGAUCGAACAUACCCUUGUAUCAUACUCUUUGCAACCGCUCUUACCCCCCGUUGGGUAUCAGCAGUAGUCCAAUGAACUGUGAAGACGCAACAUCAAAGGACAGAAAGUGAGUGUGUAAUUUUUUAAGUGUUCAACGUGAAGAGCACUUGUGGAGAUCUGUUGUGAAGGGCCUGCCAACAAACAUCGUAUGACAAAUGAGUGAGAUGAUUUCUGACUGCCUUGUAAGUACUAUUUCUUUGGACUUUCUCAGACCUGAGGAACAAAAUUGCAUGUACCAAAUGAGUUUUUUUUACUUACUAAAUCUCAAAUACAAGCUUUUGUGUUAAUGUCUAAAUUCAAAUGUAAAUUUUGUUUUUAUAGAUUUUACUCGUUUUGUAGAUUUUAUAUAUUUUCAGUUACUCAAACUAUUUGCUACGGUAGACCCAAAUUUAAAAAGUGGCAUAAUUUUAUAUCCAGGUAAAAUGGAACGGCAGCAACUAAGUGGAGCGCAAAAACGAAAGCUCACGGAGGAAAAAAAGAAAAGGAUCUGUGAAUCCCUAAAGACAACUCCAAAAAUAACUUUCUCUUUAAAGUACGGUGAUUCACAAGAGACUUCUCCCGUUGAACACUGGAGUUCAAUGGGUGUAAAUCGUUGUUCUGAUACCGCUAGUGCCGAAAUUACUAAUAGCAGCGCGAGUGUAACAGAACUAGUUCCAAAUUCUGCAUCCAUGCCUUGUUGUAGUAAAAGUAAGAAUGGUGUAGGAAGCGAAGCUUUUUUAAAAUCUGAAGUCACAUCUGCAGACCCCUUACAUAACAGAAAUACAGAUCCUGCUCUGUGGAAUAACUUUUCUUCUAAUGAUGUAAAGUAUUGGAUCGAAAGAGGGCCAAGUGAUUGUCAGCAUCACAGCGGACCAUUUGAAAACUCGUGUCGAAAAUUUCUGGGUGGUAAACAAACAAGGUUCUGUAGCCAGAAUAUAUUUCUAGGGUGCAAAGCUAAUGGUGAAAAUUAUAAGAGGGAGUGGCUACUGUAUUCUCCAUCAGUCGGCUCUGUGUAUUGUUUUGUCUGCAAAUUAUUCAGUCCUAAAUCAUUUAAUUCUCGAUUUGCUACGGAUGGCUUUAGCGAUUGGAGCAACUCAAAUAUGAUUCAUAAACAUGAAAACAGUUCCAUUCACAGAGAUUGUAUGUUGUCGUAUUUAAACAGAAGACAUAAUUUUGGCUUCACUCAUGAGUUUGAAACACAAAUUGAUGAAGAACAUCAGUAUUGGAAGGCCAUUUUGCGACGUAUUGUUGCUGUCAUCAUAACAAUUGCUGAACGUGGACUGUCUUUUCAAGGAAGGAAUGAAGUCUUUGGGUCCCCACAAAAUGGAAAUUUUCUGGGUUUACUUGAACUUGUUGCUCAGUUUGAUCCAUUUUUAGCGGGUCACAUUUCAAAAUAUGGUAACACAGGAAAGGGCAACCCAUCGUGUAUGUCUAAAACCACAUGUGAAGAAUUAGUAAGCUUGAUAAGUGAUAAAGUUCGAACAGCCAUUUUCAGUGAGAUAAGUGUAGCUCGAUAUUUCAGUUUGUCUGUAGAUUCCACUCCUGACCUUUCCCAUACAGAUCAGCUAAGUAUUGUUUUGAGGUACGUAUCUCCAACAGAUGGGAGACCUGUCGAGCGAUUUAUCACAUUUACUAGCUUAAAAAGUCACACUGGUGAAGAAAUUGCAGAUCAAGUACUUCACUAUUUAUGUGAAGUUUGCAAAGUUGAUUUUUCUAAGUGCAGAGGCCAGUCCUAUGACAAUGCUGCCAAUAUGUCAGGGCGUUAUAAAGACAUGGAACAGAAGAUUUUAGAAUGUAAUGAAUAUGCCAUUUUCGUACCAUGUGCUGCGCAUUCCCUUAAUCUCGUAGGACGUAGUGCUGUAGAUGGUUGUCCAGAAGCAGUUGAUUUUUUUUCUUCUGUGCGCUUACUUUGCACAUUUUUUGCAAGCUCUGCUCACAGAUGGGCAGUUCUCAAGACAUAUUUAGGCAAUGAUCGAUUAUUAAAAUGUCUUUCUGAUUCACGUUGGGAAGCACACGCUGUAGCAACAAGUGCAAUCCUGGAAUCGUACCCUCAGAUUCUAGAUGCCUUAGACGAUAUUGCUGAAGACCAGACACAGAAAGGAGACACCAGAAGAGAGGCUGCAAACAUCGCCAACAGAAUGCAAACGCUGGAGUACGUGUUUAUGUUGGUCAUGUGGAAUCAUAUAUUGCAGCAUUUUCAUUGGACGAGUCAAGCUCUCCAAGAUUCGGAAGUAAAUUUACAGACAUGCACAGAUCUCUACCGGUCAUUAACAGGGUAUUUGCAUAAUUUAAGAGAGGAUUUUGAAAAAUUUGAGAAAACAACAAAACAGAUACUGCCGCAUAGUAACUAUCAAGCAGUUGACCAUCGCAGAAGCGUUAGAAAGAAACGAGUAGACGGCGGAGGAGCUCCAGAAGUAUCGCUGAGCGCCAGAGAUGAGUUUCGUGUAACUACAUACUACGCCAUCGUUGACAUACUGGAAUCUUGCAUGAAAAGAAGGGCAGAGGUGUACGCAGUUCUUGCAGAUAGAUUUUCCUUCUUAAACAACGUGGAUAUACCUGACGAAGAAUGCAUGAAGGCAUCCCAGAAAUUAGUGCAGGCUUAUCCCGAUGACUUAAAUACAAACCUUUAUGGAGAAGUGCGACAAUUUCAUUCUUACAUGAGAACUAAGUUUACAGAUUCAGGAAGGACAAAUUUUACUCAUGUAGGCAUGUAUGAUUCCAUAAUAGAAGAUAAAAUACAGUGUGUAUUUCCCAAUGUUGAAAUUGCUUUACGCAUAUUCCUAACUUUAAUGAUCACAAACUGUACAACAGAACGCUCAUUUUCAUCCCUAAAGAGACUCAAAAAUACUCAGCAUACGGCAGUGAUUCAAGAAAGACCUGAUGCAUUGUCCUUAUUAUGUAUGGAAGUAGAUAUUGUUCGGCAGCUUAAUUAUGAUGAGAUCAUUGAAGAAUUCGUACAGAGCAAAGACUAGGAAGAAAUGUUUUUAGUUCCAGUUGUCCCUUGGUAUCCUCGGGGGAUUGGUUCCAGGAAAACCUCCACCCAUCCUGCAGAUACCAAAGUCUGCAGAUACUCAAGCCACUUUGAUAAAAUGAUGUAGUGCCCACGUCCUCCUGUAUACCUUGAGUCAUCUGUAGAUCACUUAUAAUACCUAAUACAACGUCAGUGCUAUGUAAAUAGUUGUUAGUGCUUACACCUAACACUUACUGGUCUUUCAGUCUUUGCAAGCACUUUAUCAUGAACCAGAGAGACCGUUUUGCCAUCGUAGGGGCAGCACUACCACUUCCACAAAAGUCAGCUUCUUUCUGUUUUAUUGUGGGAACGCUUGAUUCGUUCCUGCUGACCUUACAGCCCACUUGGCAAGCCAUGUGCCACUUUUCAAAAGAUCUAAGAUUUUUAUUUUCUCAUCAAGAGAUAGCACUUUACACAACAUCUUAGCCUUUGAGGGAUUGCUUUGACCACUUAAUUGCUUUUUAGGAACCAUUUUUUCACAGAAACGUAGGAGGCACACAACGUAAGUAGAAAACUAACUGGACGCGCGGCGAGCAGCGCUGGGGAGAGACUGCGGGUCUGUGAAAUGGCGGGAGGCUACAGCAGGGGAUGGCCACACGUCGUUUCCUUCGUGUGGAUUCAGCGGAACGCUCUCCACACAGCAGAUUGAAGUCGCGCUUUUUGGAACCCCCCCUUUUUUUUUUCCUGCAUAUUUUCUACUGACGGUUGGUUGAAUCCUUGAAUGUGGAACCUGCAGAUAUGGAGGGCCAACUGUAGGACAUGUUAGAGAUGAAAGAUCUGUCGAAAAAUAGGGUAAUUUGUUGUAAUAUUUUUUUUCUGAUCGUUAAAUUUUGUUUUAUUACACUUUUGUUCAUUUAUAAUUAGAGCAUGUAUUCAAAACAAGCAUCACAGUUGAAGUAUGAACGAUUUAAAGUAAAAUUGGUGAAAGUCAGUUUUUGGUUGUGGGAGAUCAACAGAAUUUUACAUUGAUUGUUGAAACAACCAAGUUUACUGACUCGUUUUCUUGUAGAAUCUGUGGAAUAUUCUUUUUGUAGAAAAUGUGUAUAGUAAAAAUGUCAGUAUCCUGCUUCCACUAAAAGUUUUAUAACAUAGUUCAUCUCGUUCCACUAAAAUGGCUUAUGCCACUUGUGCGUUUAAUCGCUAAUAUAGUCACUUUUAAAAAGAAGCUACAUCAUGGAUAGCUAAGACACGUAUGUGUAUAUAUCUGUGACUUACAUGUAUGUGUAACACACAUAGCCCGUUUGAAUGCGUGAGUCAGCAGAGGAGGGGGCACACAGAGUGUCAGUGUUUAUGGCCCUUGCGUGCCUUCCUGCCCUGCCACCUGAGAGUUCCGACCCCCCAGUCAUGCCCUCCCAGGACACUGAGCCCUGCCUUCAUACCGGCUUUGGCAGUGGGCUGCAGGCGGCACCCACCCACUGUGGGGAGGUGAGGGAAGCACCACGGUUGAAGCACCCUCUCAAAGAGGGCUACGUGCUGCAGCUGGGAGUGGGGCAUCCAGUCCCCCUCCCAGGGCCUUGUCACCAUCCUGGGCCCCUGGGAGAGAUGGUAGAGGAUCCCUGGGGACAGGAGCUUUCUCCUCACCCCGACCCUGUACCUGCACCCCACCUCCCUCCUUGUUCUUCACUUAAACUUUCCCUCCAUUUCUGCAGAAGUCCCAAGGGAUUUAAGUUCUUCUACAACUUCUGCAGAUUCCCUCCAGAGCUGCCCCUACUCCCCGACCUCGUUUAUUGUGGGUACAGGUCCCUGGAAGAGAAGAAAGGGAAGGACCAGGGGCGAGAUGUCCUCUGACUGGGGGUGGAGAUGGGCACUGGAUACAGGUUCACACAAGUGGCCACCGGUCAUUCGAGGCCACCAACUUGUCACGUUACACGAAUGGCCCUUCUGUAUCUGGCAUGCAGUCUUGGCCCCAGAUUCCGGACAUGGUUAAAGUGCUUGGCUGCUAACUGAAAGCCACGAGCGGCAAAGCAGGAGAAGGAUGUGAUAGGCUUCUGUAAAGAUUACAGCCUUGGAAACCCUAUGGGGCAGUCCUACUCUGUCCUGUAGGGUCCCUAUGAAUCAAAGUCAACCUUAGGUUAGCAGCCAAGUACUUAACCCUUGCACCACCAGGGCUUCUUCUGCAACCUUACAGGGCACUGCCCUGGGCCAGGCACACACGACCACAUUUAAUCCUCAUUACAACCCUGACAGGGACAGACUGUUACCUCCGUUUUACAGUUGAGGGAUCUGAGUCACAGAUAAGUAACUAGGAAGCAGAGCUCGAUUUGAACCCAGAGUCUGUGCUCUUGGCCCCUCAACAUUUGUUUGACAUUAUGGGCUUUCCCUAAGGACUUCUCGUGGCAAGGUGGUUAAAGCACUCAACUGCUAACCGAAGGGUUGGAACCCACCAGCCAUUCUGUGGAAGAAAGACCUGGCAAUCUGCUCCCAUGAAGAUUGUAGCCUAGGAAACUUUAUGAAGCAGUUCUAUUCUGCCACAUGGGGCUGCUGUGAGUAUCAACUUGAUGGUACCCAACUCGACCAACAAUGGCUUUUCCCUUCAUCACACCCUUUGAACCUAAUAGGCAUUUUCGUGGGUAGCUGCUGUCUUCCAGAGAAGGCACUGAAGACCCAGUGAAGCCUACGUCAAGGUCACACAGCAAGAAAGGAGCCUGUGAUCUCCAGGGCUGUGUUCGUGGUUGCAGUCAGAGGGCCCAGGCCACACGGGACUCCAGGGCUGCCCCAGGCCCCUGGUGGGGAGGUGACCUGGGGACGCUGGCAGGUGGCAGAGGUGGAGUGUGAAGAUGGGCAGUUAGGGGAGGGAUCAUAAGUGGUCUCUGGGUGAGGGAGGGGCCGCCACACACCCACUGACCAGGACCUGGCCUUGGCCCACCUCACCUGCAGCAGGAUGCAGAAGUUGAAGAAGCUCGUGGUGGAGGAGGGGCCAGGGAUGAGCAGAUGAGGGGAGAGUGAGCCCGGUGACGCUGGACCCUCCUAUCCCACCAGGAUCCCUGGAGAAAAUCUCACUGCAUUGCUCGAGAAACUUCCGUCGCCACCACCGUCAACGUCCCCAAACCCAACCUGCUGUUUCCCCUGGCCUCCCAUCUCCUGAGGGUCCACUGUUUCCUCAGACACUGAGACCCCGGGGGCCCCCACACAGCCUAUCAGACCCCAGCUUUUCCCUGAUCUCUGUCCCCAAGAUCUGGUGCAGGCCACAUCUCUGGACUCUACCCCAGCCCCCUCCCUGCCACGGGUCUGUUCUCAUGGCCCUUGAGGGUCUUUCUCCACUCCAAGGUGACCUUGCCCCUCCCACGCUUACAGCCCUCCCAUGGUCCCCAGCACCCCAGGAUAAAGCUCAGCCCCUCAGCAUCCCUUUCGAGGACAUGUGUGGCUUCCCCACUCCACCCUCUGGCUGAGACAUUCAGAGCCCUGUCUUUCUAGACACAACCCAAAUAACCCAAACCCAGUGCCAUCAAGUCAUUUCCGACUCGUAGCGACCCCGUGCAGUGCACAGUAGAACUAUCUCAUAGGGUUUUCUUGGUUGUAAUCUUCAUGCAAACAGACACCCAGGCCUCCUGCAACACCCCUAGGGGGGUUCAAACCACCAACCUUUCACUUUGUAGUUGAGUGUAAGCCCUUUGUGCCACCCGAAGCCUCUGAAACAGCCAGUUCUUCCGUGUUCCCUCCUGCAAUUUUGUGCCCCUACACCUUUGCUUGGAG